CCCCACUGGAUCUCAUGAGUUUUUUGCCCCAGAAAUAGAGAAUCAAAUGAGAUGAGGUUUGCUCAUGUCAUGAUGUAUUCAUUCUCUUGACUUUCCCAAGAAAGUAACUCUGUGGCAGAACUGUAGUCUGUGGGACUGCCUGUUUAAUUUCCAGUAAGCAAUGAGAAAUGUUUGCAGAUUUAUCUCUUUCCUCUUACGACUCCGACAUAUUAUGAGCAGCACCAGACAACAUUGGCUUUUGUAAAUGAUGUACAAACACAUGGAUGCACUUUUUGAGCAGCAAGAGGUGAAACAAGAUAUUACAGUGAUAUCCCACGGUACAAAACUAAGCCGACUGCUUCCAUCAGUAGAUGAAUUGGCCAACGUGGAUCCAUGAAUUGUUCCUGCCAUUAUGAAGACACAAAGGAAGACGUCUCAGCUUGCUCACCGCAGUGUCAUUCACUCUCGCUGGCAGCCAGGUCCUCCAGCACCCUUGUUUGGGUCUGUGUUCCUUCUGUCAGCUUAGGUUUUUCCAUAGCCAUCAAGAUCUCUAAAUAUCUCUUCAGUUCCUCACUGCGUACAGAUUCAAUUAAUCUGGAAUAUGGUGGUGCUGUGGAAGAGAAUGCUCCUGCAAAGGAGACUGUUCUGUUAACAGAAAGCUACGGAAGUAUCCUGCAAGUAUCAUUUGUUAGGAAUUUACGGUGA
rnacentral:lncRNA from 1 species